rnacentral:RNase_P_RNA from 1 species
CCAGGGGACCGGGCGACCGCGGCUGUCGCAAGACGGGCGAGGAAAGUCCGGGCUCCACGGAACGACGGUGCCGGGUAACGCCCGGCGGACCUGCGGCUUCGGCCAAGGGUUCAGGGACAGUGCCACAGAAAGCAAACCGCCGGUCUUCGGACCGGUAAGGGCGAAAGGGUGCGGCAAGAGCGCACCGCGCGGCUGGCAACAGGCGCGGCAUGGUAAACCCCACCGGGUGCAAGACCGAAUAGGGGCGUCACAUGAGGCUGUUCCGCCUCGACGCCCGGGUUGGUUGCUUGAGCGGCGAAGCAAUUCGUCGCCUAGAGGAAUGGUCGCCCAGGCAUCGCGCCGGUAACGGUGAGGUGCUGGACAGAACCCGGCUUACAGGUCCCCUGGCAUU